rnacentral:tRNA from 1 species
GGGAGUGUAGCUCAGUUGGUAGAGCACCUGGCUGGCUACCAGGGCUUUGCGGGGGUUCGAGUCCCUCCACUCCCG